rnacentral:sRNA from 2 species
UCCUGUUCUGCGGGGAGAGGGAUGAGAAACCUUCGAUUAAGGUUCGGGUCGAGCAUCGCGAGACAACGCGCUUCAGCGCGGCCCGCAGGGUGAGGCGCAACGCGCCGAAUAAUCCUUCUCCCACCACCA